GAUGAACGCUGACGGCGUGCCUAAUACAUGCAAGUCGAGCGAACGGACGAGAAGCUUGCUUCUCUGAUGUUAGCGGCGGACGGGUGAGUAACACGUGGAUAACCUACCUAUAAGACUGGGAUAACUUCGGGAAACCGGAGCUAAUACCGGAUAAUAUUUUGAACCGCAUGGUUCAAAAGUGAAAGACGGUCUUGCUGUCACUUAUAGAUGGAUCCGCGCUGCAUUAGCUAGUUGGUAAGGUAACGGCUUACCAAGGCAACGAUGCAUAGCCGACCUGAGAGGGUGAUCGGCCACACUGGAACUGAGACACGGUCCAGACUCCUACGGGAGGCAGCAGUAGGGAAUCUUCCGCAAUGGGCGAAAGCCUGACGGAGCAACGCCGCGUGAGUGAUGAAGGUCUUCGGAUCGUAAAACUCUGUUAUUAGGGAAGAACAUAUGUGUAAGUAACUGUGCACAUCUUGACGGUACCUAAUCAGAAAGCCACGGCUAACUACG
rnacentral:rRNA from 1 species